rnacentral:rRNA from 1 species
AGUUUGAUUCUGGCUCAGGAUGAACGCUGGCGGCGUGCCUAAUACAUGCAAGUCGAACGAGGGUGCUUGCACCCUAGUGGCGAACGGGUGAGUAACACGUAGGUAACCUGCCCUUAAGCUUGGGAUACCCAGAGGAAACUUUGGCUAAUACCGGAUAACAACAGAAGAGGCAUCUCUUCAGUUUGAAAGGCCCUUUACGGGGUCACUUAAGGAUGGACCUGCGGCGCAUUAGCUAGUUGGUGAGAUAACAGCCCACCAAGGCGAGGAUGCGUAGCCGACCUGAGAGGGUGAUCGGCCACAUUGGAACUGAGACACGGUCCAAACUCCUACGGGAGGCAGCAGUAAGGAGUUUUCGGCAAUGGGGGAAACCCUGACCGAGCAACGCCGCGUGAGUGAAUGACGGCCCUAUGGGUUGUAAAGCUCUGUUGUAAGGGACGAAUGAUUCGCUUAGGAAAUGAAGCGGAUUUGACGGUACCUUACCAGAAAGCCACGGCUAACUACGUGCCAGCCGCCGC